UCUGAGAGAAAAACAGAUUUUAUUUUAUUACUUAGAAUCAUAGUUUCCGUGAAAUAAAAAAAUGAAUGAGACAUUCAGUCUUAUUGUGAAAAACAGGAAGUGAAGGUUUAGCUGGUUAGCUUCAGCAUUUACAGCUAGAUACUGUAACUACACCAUUCUCUAUUCCUCUAUUGACUAUCCUAGUGAAAAAGAAGUGUACUUAAUUGUGUUGAAUGUGCACAUGUAGUGUACAUCAAAUCUUGGCAUCUUUCGAGGUGAUGCUAAACGGCCCAGGAGCUGCCAAGGAUCAGAAGUCUGUUGCUCUUGCCUUCUUGAUGAAUGCAAGCGGACACCAUACAAGGCUUUGCUGUGCGUCUGUUUAUAAUCUCCUGUUAUUACAUGAUACACACAUUAAUCAGCAGCAGGUCCAUCUGAUCACCAUGUAUGGUCGUUCAUCGCUUGACUCAGGGGGAUGUAUCCAACAAACAAUUUGAUAGCGAUGAGUCAAAAUAGGCUCCUCCACAUGGACUCUGUGCACCAUCCAAAAUCAACUACAUUCUACAAAGCGUGGAGACUAUAAAACACCUGUUUGGACCUGUUUAAGAUGAUUCUAAUCAGCAAGACGUAAAGAAAACGACAUUUUUUGUACCCUUAUGUAUUUGCAGAUCAGAAGCUGGGAAAUGCCCCAUAUAUGAGGGUCCCCAUAAUAUGUCAUGCUUAUGUAAUGGGUACUAAAGCACUCGUGCACACACUCAUGCACACACAUACAAUGUGAGAGUAUGAGAGUGUAUGUUGCUUAGAUCUUUCUGAUGGACCUGACAGGUUCAGAAGUGAGAAAAGAGACCCUUCCCUCCAUGCUUUUGUCACUGAAACACACACUAAUGGAGCUGACACUGAAGUCUGCUCUCAUUUGCCUUACAACGGUAAGAAACACCCAGACAGACGUGUAAAAAUGCAGGACAUAUUCAAUAAGGUUAAGCUGUCAGUCACUGACUGAAAGAACACUCUGGGAAAACAUCUUUAACUAGCAUAAACUAUAGCAUGGGAAUACGUGAGGUUGAGCAAAGCAGUCUGAAUGCAGAUCGAAUCUUAUAAUUCCAAGGUGGCAAUAUGUCAGUUAUCUGAGUUGCCUUUUUUCGGAGUGUCUAUUUACACUAAGUGCAAAUAGCUUCCCUUGUUGGCAAACGCUAGUUACACUAGCUCCGCCCACCAAUGUCUGGUUGGGCCACUCAAGUUUUAGAAAAGAGGUGUGAGAUUCAACAUCUUCAGUGCUGCUGCAAUAGCGAGUAAAGCUCGCUUAACAUGGUCGACGUGGGUUCGAAUCCGCCAUUUGCUGAGCUCGCAUUUAUUUUCAGUAAAAAUUAAAAUAAUGUCCUAAAAGUGGAAAUAAACUGCAAACGUGUGGUUAAUAAUA